rnacentral:rRNA from 1 species
GCUACACAUGCAGUCGAGCGGAACGAGAAGUAGCUUGCUACUUCGGCGUCGAGCGGCGGACGGGUGAGUAAUGCCUGGGAAAUUGCCUUGAUGUGGGGGAUAACCAUUGGAAACGAUGGCUAAUACCGCAUAAUGCUUUUGUUUGUAAUGAACAGGAGCCAAAGAGGGGGACCUUCGGGCCUCUCGCGUCAAGAUAUGCCCAGGUGGGAUUAGCUAGUUGGUGAGGUAAUGGCUCACCAAGGCGACGAUCCCUAGCUGGUCUGAGAGGAUGAUCAGCCACACUGGAACUGAGACACGGUCCAGACUCCUACGGGAGGCAGCAGUGGGGAAUAUUGCACAAUGGGCGCAAGCCUGAUGCAGCCAUGCCGCGUGUAUGAAGAAGGCCUUCGGNUUGUAAAGUACUUUCAGCAGUGAGGAAGGUGGAUGUGUUAAUAGCNCAUUCAUUUGACGUUAGCUGC